rnacentral:lncRNA from 1 species
AGUCUUUUGUGAGAGGCAGGGCUUGUAGGCAUAUUUCAGUGGGUCCACUUAUUAAAGAAGCCUACAUUUUUCUCCAUAUAUUCUAAGAAACACCUGUUUCAUCAUAGGUCUGAGCAGACAGACAGAAGCCAGCACAACUGCAGGAGAAAUGAAAUGAGGUUCUAAGCCACCUUACAGCUUAUAUUGGCCCCACCAGUCUUUUUGUUCAUUGGUUACGUGAGUCAAAUUUAUAUCCCUAAAUCCGGAAUAUGCUGCCUCCAGAAUCCAAAGAAGCCUGAGAAGCAUGGUGAUUCCUUCUUAGUGGUGGAAAGAAUGAGUUAUACACAAGAUGAAUGGAUUAACCACUGGAAGACCUGCACUACUACAAAUGUUAAAGAAAGUCCUUCCAAGAAAGAAAAAAGGCAACUUAAUGGAAACUUGUGUCUACCAAAUGGAAAGAAGAGCAAUGGGAAUCCUAACUACUGUGAGAAAAAAAGUUGAAUGUGGUGAUGGGGAAAACACUGAAGUUCAAAAGAAGCGAAGACAAGAAGCUACUCAUGGCAGCAGCUUUUCCCAUAAAUCAAGAAAUGCUACAGAUUAUAAAUGAGAUGAGACUAUCAAGAAGAGACCUAAUAGGAGUGUGAAGACCAAAAAUUUAAAAGACGUGGUUAUAUACUUUGAGUAAACUCUAUAUAUAGGACAAUGUUAUUGUUUGGUUCUGUGUUCCUCACUCAAAUCUCACCUCAAAUUAUAAUCCCCAUGUGUCAAGGGCAGGACCAGGUGGAAGUAACUGGAUCAUGGGGGAAGUUUUCCUCAUGCUUUUCUCAUAGUAAGUGAGUUCUCAUAAGAUCUGAUUUUUUUAUAAGCAUAUGGCAUUUCCCCUCCUAGCAUUUUGCCUCCUGCUGCCUUGCAAAGACGGCAGUUGCUUCCCCUUUGCCUUCCGCCAUGACUGUAAGUUCCCUGAGUCCUCUCCAGCCAUGUGGAACUGUGGGUUAAUUAAAUCUCUUUCCUUAUAAAUUACCCAGUCUUGGGCAGUUCUUUAUAGCAGUGUGAAACUGGACUAAAAUAGAAAAUUGGUACCAGGAGAGUGAGGCACUGCUGUAAAGACAUCACUAUAAAGGCACCUGAAAAUGGAAGCAACUUUGGAACUAGCUAAUGGGCAGAGGUUGGAACCAUUUGCAGGGUUCAGAAGAAGACAUGAAGAUGUGGGAAAGUUUGGAAAUUCCUGGAGACUUGUUGAAUGCUUUGACGAAAAUGCUGAUACUGAUAUGGACAAUAAAUUUCAGGCUGAGAUGCUCUCAGAUACAAAUAAAGAACUUGUUGGGAACUGGAAUAAAGGUGACUAUUUGCUAUAUAUGCUUUAGCAAAGAGACUGGUGGCAUUUUGCCUCUGUCCUAGAGAUCUGUGGAGCUUUGAACAUGAGAAAGAUGAUUUAGAAUAUCUGGUGGAAGAAAUUUAUAUGCAGCAAAGUGUUCAAGAAGUGACUCGGGUGCUCUUAAAACCAUUCAGUUGUAUGCAUUCACAAAGAUAUGGUUUGGAAUUGGAACUUAUGUUUAAAAGGGAAGCAGAGAAUAAGAGUUCAGAAAAUUUGCAGCCUGAUGAUGCAAUAGAAAAGAAAAAUCUCAUUUUCUGGGGAGAAAUUCAAGCCUGCUGCAGAAAUUUGCGUAAGUAACAAGGAGACAAAUGUUAGUCACCAAGACAAUGGAGAAUAUGGCCUCAGUCAAUGUCGGAUGUCUUCACUGCAAGCCCUCCAAUCACAGGCCUGAAGGAUUGGAGAGAAAAAAUAAUUUUGUGGGCAAGGCCCAGGGACUUGCUGCUUUGUGCAGUCUCUGAACUUGGUGCCCUGCAUCCCAGCUGUGUCUAAUAGUGGCCAACAUACAGCUCAGGCCAUUGCUUUAGAGGGUGAAAGCCCCAAGCCAUGGUGUCUUACAUGUGGUUUUGGGCCUGCAGAUGCACAGAUGUCAAGAAUUGAGGUUUGAGAACCUCCACCUAGAUUUCAGAGGAUGUAUGGAAACUCUUGGAUGUCCAGGCAGAAGAGUACUACAGGGGCAGAGCUCUCCAUGGAGAACAUCUGCUAGGGCAGUGCAGAGUCCCCACUGGGGCGCUGACUAGUGGAGCUGUGAGAAGAAGGCCACCAACCUCCAGACCCCAGAAUGGUAGAUCCACCAACAUCUUGCAUCGUACACCUAGAAAAGUCACAGACGCUCAACAACACCUCAUGAAAGUAGCCAGGAGAGGCGCUGUAUCCUGCAAAGCCACAGAGGCAGAGCUGCCCAAGGCUGUGGUAUCCCACCUCCUACAUCAGUGUGAUUGGAUGUGAGACAUGUAGUCAAAUGAGGUCAUUUUGGAACUUUUAAGACUUAAUGACUGCUUUAUUGUAUUUUGGACUUGCAUGAGGCUUGUAGCCCCUUUGUUUUAGCCAGUUUAUCUCAUUUGGAAUGGGACUAUUUAUCCAAAGCCUGUACCCCAUUGUAUCUAGGAAGUAACUGACUUGCUUUGGAUUUUACAAGCUCAUAGGCAGAAGGGACUUCCCUUGUCUCAGAUGAGACUUUGGACUGUGGCCUUUUGAGUUAAUGUUAAAAUGAGUUAAGACUUUGAGGAACUGUUGGGGAGGCAUGAUUAGUUUUGAAAUGUAAAAAGACAUGAGAUUUGGGAGGGGCCAAGGACAGAAUAAUACGGUUUGGCUCUGUGUCCCCUUCCAAAUUUCACCUUUAAUUGUAAUCGCCAUAACCCCCACAUGUCAAUGGUGGAAACAGGUAGAGGUAAUUGGAUCGUGGAGGCAGUUUCUUCUAUGCUGUUAUUCAUGAUAGCGAAUGAGUUUUCAUGAGAUCUGAUGGUUUUAUAAGCAUCUGGCAUUUCUUCUGCUUGCACUUCUCAUUCCUGCCACCUUGUGAAGAAGGUGCUUUUCUUCCCAUUUGCGUUCAACCAUUAUUAUAAGUUUCCAGAGGCAAACCCAGCCACACAGAAGUGUGAGUCAAUUAAACCUCUUUUUUAAUAAAUUACCACUCUCAAACAGUUCUUUAUGGCAGUAUGAAGACAGACUAACACAGAAAGAUAUAGCUGUUUUGGAAACAUCAGAAGUACAGUUGUAGCAAUAAAUAAAAUAUGAAUAGAUUAACUUUCGUACACCUAUUUGUGUUGAAAGCACCAGGAGUCAUAGCCAACAAUCACUUUAAUAUUUCUCCAGCUAAUUCUUCUGAUUUAUUUUUAUGUUUGGUUAGCCAGUGACUUCCCCACUAGCUAAAAAAUAUUUUUAAAAGUAUGUAUGUGUUAAUAUAUCUUGACUACUUUUUAAUUUUCCAAUUAAAAAAUAAAUCACACUUUAAUCUCUGUGUCUUGAUUUUUCUCAUUUAAGAAGAGCUCAUUGACUUAGGGGCUACAUACUAUAUGACAAGUUACAUAAAUCACAAUUUUCUUAAAUAUUUCCCUAUUGAUGGUUACUCAGUUUUAUUUUUUUUAUUUUUGCCAUUAGUAACAGUGAAGAAAUUAAUGAUCUUGCAUUUAAAUUUUAAGUACAGGUGAUUGGCUUCUUUUUACAACAUUAAAGAGUUGUAAUUGACAUACAAUAAACUGUAAUUAUAUAGUAGG